UGUCAAGCGGGCACUUCGAGAGUCUACUGGAAUUACCUCUCUGGCUCAUCCUGCUUCCCACCCUUGGGGCCCUUCACCAGAGCCAGAUUGGAAGCCUGGCGUUUCAUGCCAAUGUGAGCGUGCCAUCUGUGAGCAGAACCUGCCUAGUUAACUCAAGGCCCCACAAAGUGCCGCUGUGUUUGCUGAGUGCCCUGGGUGAGGCCCCAGGGAUGCUUCCCGGACUACCUGAGAGGUUCUACAAAGACUUUGCUCAGCCAAGCCAAGGCCAGAGGCCAGGUCACAGUUAACUGGAUGGAGUUAACAGCUGAGCAAAGAUUAGAGAGGAACCUACUUUCAUUUGGGAAAAACAGGACCAUACCAUGUGUACAAGACAGAAAUUUCUACAGAUGCUUUAUGAAAGAAAAAAUAUCUUACCAAAGUUACUACUGCACAUUCAGCAGUUAGCAGUGCGGCACU